UUUUGGAGGGCAAGUCUGGUGCCAGCAGCCGCGGUAAUUCCAGCUCCAAUAGCGUAUAUUAAAGUUGUUGCAGUUAAAAAGCUCGUAGUUGAAUUUCGGGGUCAUCAGGUUGGUCGUGCCAAUGGUAUGAACUGGCCUUGGUGAUUCCUCCCUCUUGAUGAGCCGUAAUGCCAUUAAUUUGGUGUUGCGGGGAAUCAGGACUGUUACUUUGAAAAAAUUAGAGUGUUUAAAGCAGGCA
rnacentral:rRNA from 1 species